rnacentral:rRNA from 1 species
AGUGAACGCUGGCGGCAGGCCUAAUACAUGCAAGUCGAACGGCAGCACAGCAGAGCUUGCUCUGUGGGUGGCGAGUGGCGGACGGGUGAGGAAUACAUGGGAAUCUGCCCAGUCGUGGGGGAUAACGUAUGGAAACGUACGCUAAUACCGCAUGCGCCCUACGGGGGAAAGUCGGGGACCGCAAGGCCUGACGCGAUUGGAUGAGCCCAUGUUCGAUUAGCUAGUUGGCGGGGUAAAGGCCCACCAAGGCGACGAUCGAUAGCUGGUCUGAGAGGAUGAUCAGCCACACUGGAACUGAGACACGGUCCAGACUCCUACGGGAGGCAGCAGUAGGGAAUAUUGGACAAUGGGCGCAAGCCUGAUCCAGCAAUGCCGCGUGCA